AGGUGUAGCUCAGUGGUAGAGUGUGUGCUUAGCGUGCAUAAGGUCCUGGGUUCAAUCCCCAGUACAUCCA
rnacentral:tRNA from 1 species